rnacentral:rRNA from 1 species
ACUCCUGCGGGAGGCAGCAGUGGGGAAUAUUGGACAAUGGGCGCAAGCCUGAUCCAGCCAUGCCACGUGAGUGAUGAAGGCCCUAGGGUUGUAAAGCUCUUUCACCGGUGAAGAUAAUGACGGUAACCGGAGAAGAAGCCCCGGCUAACUUCGUGCCAGCAGCCGCGGUAAUACGAAGGGGGCUAGCGUUGUUCGGAUUUACUGGGCGUAAAGCGCACGUAGGCGGACUAUUAAGUCAGGGGUGAAAUCCCGGGGCUCAACCCCGGAACUGCCUUUGAUACUGGUAGUCUUGAGUUCGAGAGAGGUGAGUGGAAUUCCGAGUGUAGAGGUGAAAUUCGUAGAUAUUCGGAGGAACACCAGUGGCGAAGGCGGCUCACUGGCUCGAUACUGACGCUGAGGUGCGAAAGCGUGGGGAGCAAACAGGAUUAGAUACCCCUGUAGUCCCAUG